AGCGAACGCUGGCGGCAGGCUUAACACAUGCAAGUCGAACGGUCCUUCGGGAUAGUGGCGGACGGGUGAGUAACACGUGGGAACGUACCCUUAGGUUCGGAACAACACAGGGAAACUUGUGCUAAUACCGGAUAAGCCCUUCGGGGGAAAGAUUUAUAGCCUUUGGAGCGGCCCGCGUCUGAUUAGCUUGUUGGUGAGGUAAUGGCUCACCAAGGCUACGAUCAGUAGCUGGUCUGAGAGGAUGGCCAGCCACACUGGGACUGAGACACGGCCCAGACUCCUACGGGAGGCAGCAGUGGGGAAUCUUGCGCAAUGGGCGAAAGCCUGACGCAGCCAUGCCGCGUGGAUGAUGAAGGUCUUAGGAUUGUAAAAUCCUUUCACCGGGGACGAUAAUGACGGUACCCGGAGAAGAAGCCCCGGCUAACUUCGUGCCAGCAGCCGCCGCCG
rnacentral:rRNA from 1 species